rnacentral:rRNA from 1 species
AUACGGAGGAUGCAAGCGUUAUCCGGAUUUAUUGGGUUUAAAGGGUGCGUAGGCGGUUUGCUAAGCGGGAGGUGAAAUGCCGGCGCUCAACGUCGGAAGUGCCUCCCGAACUGGUGGGCUUGAGUGACUAUGCCGUGGGAGGUAUGUGUAGUGUAGCGGUGAAAUGCUUAGAGAUUACCCAGAACACCGAUUGCGAAGGCAUCUCACGAAGGGUUGAUUGACGCUGAGGCACGAAAGCGUGGGGAUCAAACAGUAUUAGAUACCCUGGUAGUCCACGCAGUAAACGAUGAUGGCUAACCGCUGGGCUUAUCAGUUCAGUGGCCAAGCGAAAGCGAUAAGCCAUCCACCUGGGGAGUACGACCGCAAGGUUGAAACUCAAAUGAAUUGACGGGG